CAGUGAAGUGGCUGAUACCAUACUUCCAGGAAAAGUCUCUAAGCUUCAGUUAAACAGGAAUCGUACCCGAAACCGACACAGGUGGUCAGGUCGAGUAGACCAAAGCGCUUGAGAGAACUCUGCUGAAGGAACUAGGCAAAAUGGUACCGUAACUUCGGGAGAAGGUACGCUGCCGGCGGUGAUAGGACUUGCUCCUUGAGCUGUUGGCAGCCUCAGAAACCAGGCCCCUGCAACUGUUUAUUAAAAACAUAGCACUCUGCAAACACGAAAGUGGACGUAUAGGGUGUGAUGCCUGCCCGGUGCUGGAAGGUUAAUUGAUGUGGUUAGCGCAAGCGAAGCUAUUGAUCGAAGCCCCAGUAAACGGCGGCCGUAACUAUAACGGUCCUAAGGUAGCGAAAUUCCUUGUCGGGUAAGUUCCGACCUGCACGAAUGGCAUAAUGAUGGGGGCGCUGUCUCCAGCAGAGGCUCAGUGAAAUCGAAAUCGCCGUGAAGAUGCGGUGUACCCGCGGCUAGACGGAAAGACCCCGUGAACCUUUACUGCAGCUUGACAUUGAACUUUGAUCUUACUUGUGUAGGAUAGGUGGGAGGCUUUGAAGUCGCGACGCUAGUUGCCAUGGAGCCGUCCUUGAAAUACCACCCUGGUAAUAUUGAGGUUCUAACUCUGUCCCGUUAUCCGGGACGAGGACCAUGUCUGGUGGGUAGUUUGACUGGGGCGGUCUCCUCCUAAAGAGUAACGGAGGAGUACGAAGGUGCGCUCAGCGUGGUCGGAAAUCACGCGUAGAGUAUAAAGGCAAAAGCGCGCUUAACUGCGAGACCCACAAGUCGAGCAGGUACGAAAGUAGGUCUUAGUGAUCCGGUGGUUCUGUAUGGAAGGGCCAUCGCUCAACGGAUAAAAGGUACUCUGGGGAUAACAGGCUGAUACCGCCCAAGAGUUCAUAUCGACGGCGGUGUUUGGCACCUCGAUGUCGGCUCAUCUCAUCCUGGGGCUGAAGCAGGUCCCAAGGGUAUGGCUGUUCGCCAUUUAAAGAGGUACGCGAGCUGGGUUUAGAACGUCGUGAGACAGUUCGGUCCCUAUCUACCGUGGGCGCUGGAAAUUUGAGAGGAUCUGCUCCUAGUACGAGAGGACCAGAGUGGACGAACCUCUGGUGUACCGGUUGUGACGCCAGUCGCAUCGCCGGGUAGCUAUGUUCGGAAGGGAUAACCGCUGAAAGCAUCUAAGCGGGAAGCCUACCUCAAGAUAAGAUUUCCCUGUGACUUUAUGUCACCUAAAGAGCCGUUGAAGACUACGACGUUGAUAGGUUGGAUGUGGAAGUGUAGCGAUACAUGAAGCUGACCAAUACUAAUUGCUCGUGAGGCUUGACUAU
rnacentral:rRNA from 1 species